UAAAAGGUCCUUUUCAGGACCAAUGAAAAUUAUUCAAACUAUUGUC
rfam:Aedes albopictus isolate Foshan contig138042, whole genome shotgun sequence.